AUCCAGCUGACGAGUCCAAAACAGAAUGAAACACACAUCCUGGAA
rfam:Schistosoma haematobium scaffold677_27, whole genome shotgun sequence.